rnacentral:rRNA from 1 species
GACGAACGCUGGCGGCGUUCUUAACACAUGCAAGUCGAACGGAAAGGCCCUGCUUUUGUGGGGUUUUCGAGUGGCGAACGGGUGUGUAACAUGUGAGUAUCCUGCCCUUGACUUUGGGAUAACUUCAGGAAACUGGGGCUAAUACCGGAUAGGAGCUCCUGCUGCAUGGUGGGGUUUGGAAAGUUUCGGCGGUUGGGGAUGGACUCGCGGCUUAUCAGCUUGUUGGUGGGGUAGUGGCUUACCAAGGCUUUGACGGGUAGCCGGCCUGAGAGGGUGACCGGCCACAUUGGGGCUGGGGUACGGGCCAGACUCCUACGGGGGGCAGCAGUGGGGAAUAUUGCACAAUGGGCGGAAGCCUGAGGCAGCAACGCCGCGUGCGGGAUGACGGCCUUCGGGUUGUAAACCGCUUUCGCCUGUGACGAGGCGUGAGUGACGGUAAUGGGUAAAGAAGCACCGGCUAACUACGUG